AGAUAAGCGUGACUAGGCAAGUGACGAAACGAUCAUCUCCCGCUUGCCAUCGGGAGGAUCAAUGAUAACGCGCGCGAAUCCGCCGACAGAUUUCGAAUCGGUAAGAUCGCGGUCCAAGUGCCGAAGUCUUUGGUAAGUAUGAAAAGAAUUCGCGAGCCGCGAUAACGACACGGUUUAUCAGUCAUGGUUACUACAUGCAACAAUCCGCUGUGUACAAAGUCGCGUGGAGAUAACAACGUUUCGGAAAUCAUCUAUUCCUCAAACGUGGUAAACAUUAACUAAGCAACUUUGCUCUCUUCAACAUCAUUCUUUCGUUAUACGUCACAUUGCCUCCAUUUUUUUCAAAUCGAUAGAGAUUAGGAUGUUUGAUUAAUCCAGUAUUGAUUUGGCCAGGAAUUCAGAAAAAGAAAAUCGGCGUGAAAAGCGAUUGCCAUAAUUCGGUUAUCACCGAAGAUUUCGCAGAACGAAAAAUCAGGGAAAUCGGAGAACGAGGAAUUAAACGGCUGGUACCGUCGUCCACGUUCCUCAUCCGUACUCGCGUACUCCGUCAUGUAGUCUUCGUCCAAAGUAUGCCACACACGUCGAUACGGUCAGCCAGUAUCUUUGCAAAAGGUCAUCGUCUGCUAUUGCGGACAUUGAAUGGAGGCAUUUGUAUAUGUAUAACAAAGAAGCGAUCUUAAUUCCCACAACGAGUAUUUGCGAGGGCGUUCGCGGCGCCGUUACGCACCGCGCGUUUGAACCGACGGUUGAACUCUCGUCGGGAUGUCACGUUUUAUCACUGAAUCUCACAGUUGGUUGACAAGCUUCGAUCAUUGACGCUUCGCGAUACAACGAUCUGUUCAGCAUCACCUGCGGGCUUGUAUCUUGACCGAUGGUGUCUGUCAUAUAAAUCCUGAGUAAAGGAUAAGACAAUAAAUCCUCUCAAAAUGUCUCGAUUUUACGGUGGAUUCGCUUCGGCGAGUUUUGCAAUCCGUACACUCGACUUUGACUUUAUGUCACUUGUGAUUCCCCGGCAUAAUAAACACGCCCGGCCAUCAUCUUUUACGAGCGAUGCAGAGGACGAACUACUGGUCUUCCUUGAUUGUCUUGUCGCGCGAAUCUCACACGGGGCUGAAAAACGAACGAUGGUCCUUGAGGAUCGUACCUCUCUUUAGGAACAUCAAGUAUCUACGCGAGACACACAGCGGGAGAAGGGACGGGGUGUAAGAAUGAAAUCUUAAUCGUGCCUGACCUCUUCGCGCGAGUUAUCGUCGAGUGGCUGUGUGUGUUUACCGUCGUCGGAAUAAUUAAAUAACGAGUCGCAGUGAGCCAACACUAAGUGUAUAAUCGAACGAUAACGUCUGGCGCGUCGCCACUUUUUCAGGGCCCUCAUUGGCCCGUUGCUCCGGUUACGUAUUACUACGCGAAUGAUAAACGGCGUUGUAAUAGAGGAAAAUAUACGAAAUACUACUGGCUUUCUCGAUAGAAGGAAA